rnacentral:lncRNA from 1 species
AUCGUAGUGAAAAUGGCCUUUAGUGAGGACUCCUUGUCGUGGUGGGAGUGAGCGUGGGAGGGAGAGUUGAAGCUGUACUGGUUCCUUGUACCCGCAGAAGAAAGCGCGGUUUAAUAACCUCCACAUUUUAAUGGAAGCCAGGACCCCAGUUGCGGAUACUGUGUCUGGAGACGACUGGGUAAGGUCAAACAAUCAUGAAUGAUCAGCCCUAUUCAGUCACAAAAAACAGUACAUCUGGUGAUGGAUAUCAAGCCCUUUUCGAAACAAAACUUGGAACUGCAGAUGAGAAAAAUGGCAUGGAGCAACUUGAAAGUCAACUCAGCAUUGGGGACUUUGUGAAAAUGGAGAGGAUGUUUAAGGGCCUUGAAGGAUGACUUUCAAUCAGUUACACACCCAGGAGACAUCAACAUUUUCUGAAUCUUCCCAUCCUCUUCACUCAAUCAGCUAUCACGCUGCAGGUACAAGCUUUUGUCAUAUCUCGAUUAGACUACUGCAUCAGCCUCUUGCUGGUCAUCCUGCCUCUA